rnacentral:rRNA from 1 species
CCCUUAGAUGUUCUGGGCUGCACGCGCACUACACUGACGCACGCAACAGGUGCCUGCUCCGAGAGGACUGGGUAAUCAUUUGAGUGUGCGUCGUGAUGGGGAUAGAAUAUUGUAAUUAUUACUCUUCAACGAGGAAUUCCUAGUAAGCGCCAGUCAGCAGCUUGCGCUGAUUACGUCCCUGCCCUUUGUACACACCGCCCGUCGCUCCUACCGAUGGGUGAUCCGGUGAAUGAUUCGGACUUCAGCGGCUCCCCUGGGGUGCGCCGGAGAAAGUUUUGUGAACCUUAUCACUUGGAGGAAGGAGAAGUCGUAACA